GUCUGGCCCUUUAAUUCAUCUCGGGGGAGGGGACCAGAGCUGCCAGUGGCGCCCCUGUCCGGGGGAGGGGGGGUGAGAAUCUCGCCCUGGGGGAAUCGCCCCCCCCCCCGGGGGAGGAGCACUCCUGUCUAUGGCAUUCAAACCACAGUCAGAUGCAUCAAAACCUUUUGCAGAAGCAGAUGAGUUAAAGGACUUUAAAGGAGUCAUUGUGCUACCACAUACUUACUGAAGGCUAUGAUCAAGACUUAUCUGCCAUGCCCACAUCUCUGGAAGUCCAGCGGCAAAAUCCACAGGCCAGCUUAGCUUCAGCUGAUGGCAUAUUUUCCAGGCAACUGGGACAAUAGUGAGAGUCCACCUAGCGAACAACAGACAAAGAAGUCACUUCAUCCCUCAUGAUGCGUGUAUUUCCAGACAGGAUAGCAGCAGCAGCAGCUGAAACACCUUGAUGCAUGAUUUCAAAAUGUUUUAUGGAACGUAACAGCAAUGUGAAGUCAGUGAAGAUAUAAGAUAGAUGUCUGAUGUUUGAAAUUUUUCAGUCUGGCUUGGCAAGGAGUUUCUCUUUAGUAUCUUACCACAGAAGAGGAUCUUGUCGAGAAGGAUUAAAUGCUACUACCUAGGAAACAGGCCAAGUUUAACUGGGCCCUAAUAUGUUAAAGAUUACAAGAGCCUCAAGAUAACAGCCAUCAGUUUCUGAACUUGAAUAAUUAAGUCAAUAAAGUACUCUGGCCUUUCAUCA